rnacentral:lncRNA from 1 species
CAACAGUCAUUUAUUUAUUGACUUAAACAAGCAAGAAGUAUCCUCAGACAUAAUGGCCACCACUUGAGCAAUACAAAUCAAUAUCACUGGAGAACAGGGAACAUCUUUUCUCUCACCCCUCCCAUCCCAGAAGUAACAAUAGAAAUACCAGGGCCCCUGGAGAAAAGAGAAGGAGAAAAAUUAUAAAAGGCGCUUAGAAUGAGCUGCAGAGUUGAAAGAUGGAUACUAAGAAAAAUAUAUAUCAUCAGCUACUCCACUGCAUCACACCACAAUCACCUCAAAAAUAACGUUCGUUGUUCCAUUUCUACCAGGUACCAAGUAUAUAGCGCUGUUUAACAGCAAUUUCAAUGUAUUAUCCACUGUCCUCAACUGAAGCAGAACAGCAAUUUUGUAUGAAGAUUUGAGGCUGCAGGUAGAAAGAAGGGUUUCCACAGAAUACGACGCAAGUCUUCUCUAGUUAACAGAAAGGGAGCGGGGCAGAAACAAAGCUCCUUUUAACAGCUACUGUACUUCUGUAGCAAGGCAUUCACUCUGUGUUGAUGCUUCAUUACAGCCACAAAAUCCUGAUAGAGUACAGCAGCACUACUCACCCUAUGACAGUUUCUGAAGAAUGUACAUCCGCAAGUCUUUUAAGUUGCGGGCCACUGAGAAUCCCCACCUGCCACUGCCGUGUGGGUGUGUUUUAUUUCCCAUCAGACAUGAGUGAAAAAAGAAAAAAAAAAAUCAAGCAGACUGCAUGCAAAACUAUCAUAGCUCUAUCAUUUCGUCUUCCUUCUAAUGGCUGAAAAUACGAGUAAGGCAUUCCUCAGAUUUAGAGAAAACAUUAGGAAGCUGUAGUUGUGCAGGCAAAGAGACCUUUUAUUUUAAUCCGUUAAAAGAACCCAGAAUAGUCAGCAGGUGGCCACAUCUAUCCAUGUUUCAUUAAAAUCACAUAAACCCUAAGUACAAAAGCACCACUGAUUAUUGCUCUAGAAAAACUGCAUGAAAAAUUCAAAUACGCACAGUAAAAACAUCACCAUAUGCACAAGACUUAAUUUCUUAAAGCAAGUGUAUGGAAUGCCGAUCCAAUUUUACACAUACCUUGCAAUAUUAAGUUGAUAUUUAUAUUACUUGGCAACAAUGGGAAUUCCUAAAAGCACUGUUAUGAGAAGGGAAAUGUUCAUAUACAGUUUAAUAUGUCAACUAUUGUAGUCCUAAAAAAAUUAGCAUUUACAAAAUACUUGAUAAAAAUAUCUUUUAAAAGUUGUCCAAGAGGUACAUAAAAUCAACCCCAAAUUUUCAUGAUAUUUCAUUCAUUCUUGUCACCUACAGAUUCAGUUUUCUGAGCCUUCCUUUGCAGCUUCUUGCUUUUCAUCCUUCUUCCCUUUAGCACCUUUGUUGGCCUUUGUUCCAGGUUCCUUCUUAGUGGUUUUCCUUGGCUUGGGUUCAGGUUUUGGCGGAGCAGGUUUAGCUGACAAUCUUGCUGAUCGUCUUGUGGGCUCUUGUUUAGUUACUUUUGCUGCAUCCUUGCCUUCAGCACCCUCUGGAGACUUUCUCUUCGGCAUAAUGUCCCCGCGGCGCGCUGCCAAAGUCACGCGGCGAAAGCGGCGAGCGCGGAUCCGCCCGACAGCGCUGGCAGCGGCGGCGGCGUCGCUGGUGGUGCCCGCGGCUCUGCCCGCGCCCGCUGCCCGCCGCGCCGCCCCCGGCGCCCCGGCAGCCCCCACCGCCAGCGCCCGCCUCGCCGAGGGGGCGGGCGGAGCGGGGCAGCCCCGGCCGCUGAUUGGCCGCCCGGCCGCGUCGCGCCCCCCUCUCCGGCGGGAGCGGGCUAAUCAGGGGCGGCCCGCGCGGGUCAGAGGCCGGGUGCGG